CGUUCUCAGGGCGGGGUGAAAGUCCCCACCGGCGGUGUACCGCAGCCUUUUGGGUUGCGGCAGCCCGCGAGCGCCCUUCAUGGGAAGGGGUCUGCAGAUCCGGUGCAAAUCCGGAGCCGACAGUGACAGUCUGGAUGAAAGAGAAUG
rnacentral:ncRNA from 1 species